GCGCAGAGUGGGGCGCGGGGCGCGUGCUAGGCAUCUGCAGGAGCGGGGCAAUGCCCAGGCGUCUCCUCCCCGGGGAAGAGAAAGAGAAACAGAGCCCGGCCUCGCUCCGGCUCUCUGGCUGUGCCUCUCCUCUCUCAGCCCGUGCUUAGCAUUACUUCCCCCCCGCCGCCCGCGCUCCCCCCGCCCUAGUUGCAGGGUUAUUUCAGGACACAGCCCGCCUCUCUCGCUCGGAAGCGCGGCUGAAGCCUGCCCGGCGUCUCCCGCGCUCAGACUGGCGUUUAUCAGCAAAGGUAUUGAAAAUGAAGUUCUAAUGAGUGUUAGAUGGAAUCCUGUGGAUGAGAGUGAAUGGAAAAGGAGGUGAAGAGCUUAUAUGUUUCAGCAACUGUGGG
rnacentral:lncRNA from 1 species